rnacentral:lncRNA from 1 species
CUGUGAUGCAAAUUCCUUGCCAAACUUCAUGAUGAACAGUUAGUAGAGGUAAAGCCUCUCAAAACUGCCCUUGAGAUUGUGACAAGAUGAGUUAGUUAAUUUUAACUGCUUAUAUAGACUGAAAAGAUAGAGACGGGGAAGGAAUUAAGUCAAAUGGGGGGUAAUGUUUUCUCGUGUUGGGUAUGGAGAAAGAUUUGAGCUUUUCAGUUGAGAGAAUGAGGAGAAGACAUGGGAAUUGGUUGGGUGGAUUAAAUGCUUACAAUAAGGGAGAUGGAUUUUAAAAUAAUUUGCAGAGAAAGAGAGAGAUUUGUCCAGGCUAUUUGAAGCAGUUGCAGCUGACUGGAUUUUUCUUUGGGCUAUUUUCUCAGAUGUUUCUUCUGUGAACUCCAAUGCAGCAGGAGCAGCUGCAGCAAGUUGAUGAUCUGAGUGUUCGUUUCUGGUGGCUGCUUUAGCUUUUUAACAAUGGUGGGGUGGUGACAGAGAGUAAAGUAAAGGGAAAUAAGGACGUGAGGGCCAGUUGUGAACAGGGGUUGGUUUGGUUUGGUUGGUACAAUCAACUAAUCAAGAUAUGAAAAUUGAAAGCGUGUCUAUAUUAUUGGAUUUGUUUCUUUUUGUGGGAAAUUGAAUUGAUGCAGGCGAUGUUUAAUGCAGGAACCACGACCGAUAGAUAUGGUGGGAAAGGAAAGUUCGCAAUCGAUGCCAGUUAUUACGGAGGCCAAGUUUGAAAUUCCUUCGUUGCCUUUUUUUUCAUUUCGAGCCUUCUUCUGGAAUUUGGGUGAGUCUGUGGUCUAUGUGUUGUUGAGAGGUCAGCACUCUCAUGACUCUCCGACGGUUCUAUAACGAUUUUGUUUUAAUAAUUUGAGUUGUUUCGAAAGAGGGUUUUGCAAGACUUUUGAAAAAGUUGGAAAUUUAUACAAG